UCUUGCUGCAACAUCACAGUGACCACAUAGGCCAGUCAAUGUGAGCACUGCGAUGUGGUAUUAAGAU
ncrna:Branchiostoma floridae (Florida lancelet) microRNA bfl-mir-2072 precursor